UACGUAGGGUGCGAGCGUUAAUCGGAAUACUGGGCGUAAAGCGUGCGCAGGCGGUGAGCUGUGUCCGAUGUGAAAGCCCCGGGCUUAACCUGGGAAUGGCAUUGGAAACUGGCUCGCUGGAGUGUGGCAGAGGGGGGUGGAAUUCCGCGUGUAGCAGUGAAAUGCGUAGAUAUGCGGAGGAACACCGAUGGCGAAGGCAAUCCCCUGGACCUGUACUGACGCUCAUGCACGAAAGCGUGGGGAGCAAA
rnacentral:rRNA from 1 species